rnacentral:rRNA from 1 species
UAGAUUAGGUGUUCCCUUCGGGGACAGAAUGACAGGUGGUGCAUGGUUGUCGUCAGCUCGUGUCGUGAGAUGUUGGGUUAAGUCCCGCAACGAGCGCAACCCUUAUUGUCAGUUGCCAGCAUUAAGUUGGGCACUCUGGCAAGACUGCCGGUGACAAACCGGAGGAAGGUGGGGAUGACGUCAAAUCAUCAUGCCCCUUAUGACCUGGGCUACACACGUGCUACAAUGGACGAUACAACGAGUCGCUAGACCGCGAGGUUAAGCUAAUCUCUGAAAGUCGUUCUCAGUUCGGAUUGCAGGCUGCAACUCGCCUGCAUGAAGUCGGAAUCGCUAGUAAUCGCGGAUCAGC